GUAGUCUCGCACAGAUGCAUAUCAAUAAGCGGAGGAAAAGAAACUAACAAGGAUUCCCUUAGUAACGGCGAGUGAAGCGGGAAGAGCUCAAAUUUGAAAUCUUCAAGGUUUUACCUUGACGAAUUGUAGUUUAAAGAAGUGUUUUCUGUUGAAGCUUUGGUAAAAGUUCUUUGGAAUAGGACAUCAUAGAGGGUGAGAAUCCCGUAUUUGACCAUUAUUUUCAGCUGUGUGAUACACUUUCAAAGAGUCGGAUUGUUUGGGAAUGCAGUCCAAAAUGGGUGGUAAAUUUCAUCUAAAGCUAAAUAUUGGCGAGAGACCGAUAGCGAACAAGUACCGUGAGGGAAAGAUGAAAAGAACUUUGAAAAGAGAGUUAAACAGUACGUGAAAUUGUCAAAAGGGAAGCGUUUGACACCAGUGUUGUUUUCUCGAAAAUCAAUUAAAAAGAGUUUGAUUUUGUUGUGUAUUGACCUUAACAGCUUGCAUUUCAAUUUUCUCGCUUUUUUUAAUGCACUUUUCGUUUAACAAGUCAACAUCAGUUUCUUUUGUUGUAAAAAGGUCAUUGGAAGGUGGCUUUCUUUUCGGAGAAAGUGUUUAUAGCCUUUGACUCCUGCAAUCGGAGAGACUGAGGUCUGCAGCGUAGAUCCUUCGGGGUUAGAUACAUUUGUGCUAAGUUAUAGCUUUUUAUAGACAACUUGUUGACUAUGAUUAGUCUUGUAGCUUACUCGCUUAUGCUAUUUUACCUACGCUUAGGAUGUUGAGCGCAUGUCUCUCUCU
rnacentral:rRNA from 1 species